rnacentral:tRNA from 1 species
CGGGAGGUGGCGCAGGCUGGAUUAGCGCACUUGGUUUGGGACCAAGGGGUCGCGGGUUCAAAUCCCGCCCUCCCGA